AGGCAGCAGUUAGGAAUAUUGGACAAUGGGCGCAAGCCUGAUCCAGCAAUGCCGCGUGAGUGAUGAAGGCCUUCGGGUCGUAAAGCUCUUUUACCAGGGAUGAUAAUGACAGUACCUGGAGAAUAAGCUCCGGCUAACUCCGUGCCAGCAGCCGCGGUAAUACGGAGGGAGCUAGCGUUGUUCGGAAUUACUGGGCGUAAAGCGCACGUAGGCGGUUACUCAAGUCAGAGGUGAAAGCCCGGGGCUCAACCCCGGAACUGCCUUUGAAACUAGUUGACUGGAAUCUUGGAGAGGCGAGUGGAAUUCCGAGUGUAGAGGUGAAAUUCGUAGAUAUUCGGAAGAACACCAGUGGCGAAGGCGACUCGCUGGACAAGCAUUGACGCUGAGGUGCGAAAGCGUGGGGAGCAAACAGGAUUAGAUACCCUAGUAGUCC
rnacentral:rRNA from 1 species